GCCGCGGUGGUGGAAUUGGUAGACACGCUAGCUUCAGAAGCUAGUGAAGGUUAACUUCGUGGAGGUUCGAGUCCUCUCCGCGGCACCA
rnacentral:tRNA from 1 species